GAUAAACGCUAGCGGCAGGCUUAACACAUGCAAGUCGAGGGGCAGCAUAGAUUGUAGCAAUACAAUUGGUGGCGACCGGCGCACGGGUGCGUAACGCGUAUGCAACCUACCCGUCACAGGGGGAUAAUCCGGAGAAAUCUGGUCUAAUACCCCAUAACAUAUGGAUCGGCAUCGGUUCAUGUUGAAAUUUUCGGAGGUGACGGAUGGGCAUGCGUAGCAUUAGCUUGUUGGUGAGGUAACGGCUCGCCAAGGCGACGAUGCUUAGGGGGACUGAGAGGUUUUCCCCCCACACUGGUACUGGGACACGGACCAGACUCCUACGGGAGGCAGCAGUGAGGAAUAUUGGUCAAUGGGCGCAAGCCUGAACCAGCCAUGCCGCGUGCAGGAUGACGGCUCUAUGAGUUGUAAACUGCUUUUGUACGAGGGUAAAGUGGGUUACGUGUAACCUUUUGAAAGUAUCGUACGAAUAAGGAUCGGCUAACUCCGUGCCAGCCGCCGCGGUAA
rnacentral:rRNA from 1 species